GACAGAGGGUGCAAACGUCAUUCGGAAUCACUGGGCUUACAGGGUGCGUAGGCGGCCAGUCAGGUCCGAUGUGAAAUCCCACAGCUCAACUGUGGAACGGCAUUGGAAACCGAUUGGCUUGAGUGAGCUAGAGGUGCACGGAACUUCCGGUGGAGCGGUGUAAUGUGUUGAGAUCGGAAGGAACACCAGAGGCGAAAGCGGUGCACUGGAGCUUGUCUGACGCUGAGGCACGAAAGCCAGGGGAGCGAACGGG
rnacentral:rRNA from 1 species